rnacentral:lncRNA from 1 species
AUGGCAGAGGAGAUAGAUUUGAGAAGCCUGGUGGAGACCCUUGGGAGGGAAAUAGCUCACAACAAGGACAUUAUUCAAGAGCAGUCCAAAACUAUUGUGUGCCUCGUCACUGGCAUUGGGGAGAUGCAGAGAUUCGCAAACCAGACGAAGCUGGAGGCUUGUAAGAGGGAGAAUUCACUUUACCAGGAAUUGUGGAAACUGCAAAGAAAGCUCAAUAGCGCGAUUUCAGAUUGUGAACUAAAGAUCUCAGAAAAUGGUCUGAGACAGAACAUCUCACAAUGGAAUGAUCUGAAAGAUGAACUGGAACGACUUAAACUCCAGUUCCACACUGAAAACCGCCUGCCCGCUGAGAGCCAUCCUGCAAACUUCGACCUGGUGAAGGAGCUCCACAAGGAAAUCCACGACCUCAAAGAGCAGCUCCAGAGGGAGCGGAACGAAGUAGCUCAGAAGGACGCCAUCAGCGGAGAACGGCUCCAAACAAUUCAGCGCCUCAACGCUCAGGUUGGAGAGCUACAGGAUUGCCACACCCAACAGAAGCUGAAGGCCCCUGAAAGGCAGAAACUGGAGGAGACGGUGCUAAAGUCCAACAGAACGGCGUCAUACUAUAAACAAAUAAUCUCACAGAAUGAACAGAUAAUCUCAGGGAAGGACCGAAUGAUCUCCAAGUGUGAACAGAAGAUCUUGGAGCGCGAACAAAUAUUCUCCCAGAUUAAACAAACGAUCGCAAAGUACAAACAAAAGAUCUCGGAGUGCGAGAAGACGAUCUCGCGGAAGGACCGGGCGAUCUCACGGAGCGGGAAAAAGGUUUCGCAGCGUGAACGGAAGAUCGCGCAGCUUGAGGAAAAGAUCUCGGAGUGUGACCAAGUGAUCUCACAGAACGAACGGAGGAUCUCACAGUAUGAGCAAAUGAUAUCACGGACGGACCAAGCCAUCUCGCAGCAUGAACGGAAGACCCCACUGCAUGAAGAAAAGAUCUCGGAGCACAGAGUACAGGGCUACACAUUUGGUGACCACGAGAUCUCGAGUCAGAAGGUCUCGGACCACAAGCCACAAGUCCCGGAGCUCGGACAAAUGAUCUCACAGGACGGACGAACGAUCUCAAAGCAUGAGCAAGAGAUCUCGGAGUAUGACCAAAAGAUCUCGGAGUAUGAACUAAAGAUCUCGGAGUAUGAACAAAGAUCUCGGAGUAUGAACAAAAGAUCUCGGAGUAUGAACUAA